CCGUGAAUUACAGGGCAAUUCUCCUUUGGCACCGGUAACGCAAGGCUGCAUGCAUGCGUGCUCUUUCCGGUGACCAUGCUGGUUAGCCAUGCACCCAGGCCCCAGGCCCUAGGCCCUAGCUUGUGCCAAAGGAGAAUUGCCCUGCGAUUUUGCG
rnacentral:pre_miRNA from 1 species